rnacentral:rRNA from 1 species
CAAUAGCGUAUAUUUAAGUUGUUGCGGUAAAAAAGCUCGUAGUUGGAUUUCUACCGAAGAUAGCCGGUCGGGUCUUCGACCUUGUAUCUGGUUUUGUCUUUGGUAUCCUCAUAGGGAACGUUUCUGCGCUUUAUUGCGUGGUGCGGUAUCUAUGACUUUUACUUUGAGGAAAUUAGAGUGUUCACGGCAGGCAAACGCCUUGAAUAUAUUAGCAUGGAAUAAUAACAUAGGAUCUUCGUCCUAUUUUGUUGGUUUCUAGGGCUAAGAUAAUGAUUAAUAGGGAUAAUUGGGGGCAUCUGUAUCAACGCGUCAGAGGUGGAAUUCUUGGAUUGCGUUGCGACAAACUACUGCGAAAGCAUUUGCCAAGGAUGUUUUCAUUGA